GCGACCGAGCGGGACGAUCGCUCGGUCGCUACGUAGCGACCGAGCGGGACGAUCGCUCGGUCGCUACGUAGCGACCGAGCACUCGUUUCGCUCGGUCGCUAC
rnacentral:pre_miRNA from 1 species